AAUGAACGCUGGCGGCAUGCCUAACACAUGCAAGUCGAACGGCAGCACAGUAAGAGCUUGCUCUUACGGUUGGCGAGUGGCGGAUGGGUGACGCAUACAUCGCCUUCUACUUUUUCGUGGGGGAUAACGUAGGGAAACUUAUGCUAACACAUCAUACGUCGUACGGGUGAAAGCAGGGGAUCUUCGCACUUUUCGCGAUUGAAUGAGCCGAUGUCGGAUUAGCUAGUUGGCUGGGUAAAGGCCCACCAAGGCGACGAUACGUAGCUGGUCUGAGAGGAUGAUCAGCCACACUGGAACUGAGACACGGUCCAGACUCCUACGGGAGGCAGCAGUAGGGAAUAUUGGACAAUGGGCGCAAGCCUGAUCCAGCCACACCGCGUGAGUGAAGAAGGCCUUCGGGUUGUAAAACCCUUUUGUUGGGAAAGAAAAGAAGCAGGUUUAUACCCCGCUGUCCUGACGGUACCCAAAGAAAAAGCACCGGCUAACUUCGUG
rnacentral:rRNA from 1 species